UUCACGAUCUUAGUUCAAGGGAAUGUUCGAACGGGUCAAGUCCAGGUGUUCUAACAGGAAAAUCAAUGCAACACGAAGGUAUGUAAACAAAAGUUCGAAUUUCCACGCAACAAGCCUCACACAGUGACUAUAUGACAGGUAAAGCACAAAAUCAACUACCAACUUGCAAUCAAAACUCAACACUUCACAAACAGAGCAAAUAAUUCCUAAAUUUUCUAGCACAAGCAAUGGUUGCCAAGCAAUGACAACCCCCAAUCCUAACGAUCACCCCACACGAUGAUCUGCUAAUGCUGAAAUUUAAAAAUAAGUUAAGCCAAUAUACCAGAGCGGAC
rnacentral:lncRNA from 1 species